rnacentral:rRNA from 1 species
CAGUCGCCACGGUAAUACGUAGGUGGCAAGCGUUGUCCGGAAUUAUUGGGCGUAAAGGGCUCGCAGGCGGUUUCUUAAGUCUGAUGUGGAAGCCCCCGGCUCAACCGGGGAGGGUCAUUGGAAACUGGGAGACUUGAGUGCAGAAGAGGAGAGUGGAAUUCCACGUGUAGCGGUGAAAUGCGUAGAGAUGUGGAGGAACACCAGUGGCGAAGGCGACUCUCUGGUCUGUAACUGACGCUGAGGAGCGAAAGCGUGGGGAGCGAACAGGAUUAGAUACCCCUGUAGUCCCUGUCUCUUAUAC